rnacentral:rRNA from 1 species
GACGAACGCUGGCGGCGUGCUUAACACAUGCAAGUCGAACGAUGAAGCCGGAGCUUGCUCUGGUGAAUUAGUGGCGAACGGGUGAGUAACACGUGAGUAACCUGCCCUUGACUCUGGGAUAACUGCGGGAAACUGUAGCUAAUACCGGAUACGACCCUCGGAGGCAUCUCCUGGGGGUGGAAAGAAUUUCGGUCAAGGAUGGACUCGCGGCCUAUCAGCUAGUUGGUGAGGUAAAGGCUCACCAAGGCGACGACGGGUAGCCGGCCUGAGAGGGUGACCGGGCACGCUGGGACGGAGACACGGCCCAAACUCCUACGGGAGGCAGCAGUGGGGAAUAUUGCACAAUGGGCGCAAGCCUGAUGCAGCAACGCCGCGUGAGGGAUGACGGCCUUCGGGUUGUAAACCUCUUUUAGUAGGGAAGAAGCGAAAGUGACGGUACCUGCAGAAAAAGCACCGGCUAACUACGUGCCAGCAGCCGCCGUAA